rnacentral:rRNA from 1 species
AUGACGGUGGUCGACACUGAGACCCGUUUCCACGUCCUCGCCGUGGACGACGGCGUCAUCGACCGGAAGCUCAUCGAGAUGCUGCUCAGGACCUCCUCCUACCAAGUCACCACAUUGGACUCCGGGAGCAAGGCGCUGGAGGUCCUGGGAUUGAGAGACGAGGGGGACUCAUCCUCCUCCUCACCCCCUUCCUCCUCCGCCCCUGACCACCACCAGGAGGUGGGCGUGAAUUUGAUCAUCACUGACUAUUGCAUGCCUGGCAUGGCAGGAUACGAUCUGCUGAGGAGGGUCAAGGGGUCAUCUUCAUUGAAGGACAUUCCAGUGGUGAUCAUGUCGUCUGAGAAUGUGCCUGCCAGGAUCAGCAGGAGGAUGCCCGAGCUGACCAGGAGGACACCCUUCUGCACCUCAGCCACCACACAAGGUUAA